rnacentral:rRNA from 1 species
UACGAAGGGUGCAAACGUUGCUCGGAAUUAUUGGGCGUAAAGCGCACGUAGGCGGCUCUAUAAGUCGGAUGUGAAAUCCCUCGGCUCAACCAAGGAAGUGCAUCCGAAACUGUGGAGCUUGAGUACUUAAGAGGAUCGCGGAAUUCCCGGUGUAGAGGUGAAAUUCGUAGAUAUCGGGAGGAACACCAGUGGCGAAGGCGGCGAUCUGGGAAGAUACUGACGCUGAGGUGCGAAAGCGUGGGGAGCAAACAGG